rnacentral:rRNA from 1 species
UACGAAGGGGGCGAGCGUUGUUCGGAGUUACUGGGCGUAAAGGGCGCGUAGGCGGCGCUCCAAGUUAGGCGUGAAAGCCCCGGGCUCAACCUGGGAACUGCGUUUGAAACUACAAGGCUAGAGUGUAGCAGAGGGGGGUGGAAUUCCACGUGUAGCAGUGAGAUGCGUAGAGAUGUGGAGGAACACCGAUGGCGAAGGCAGCGCCCUGGGUUAACACUGACGCUCAGGCACGAAAGCGUGGGGAGCAAACAGG